GAAACUCAGCCUGUUCUUGAUCCUCUCAUGUAAGAAGUUUGAUUCUUGCUUUACAUAAAUGAGUAGCCGGACCUUACAAGACUGAAUAUCCUUUCACUGUCAACACUGCUCUUUGUUUGAUCCCACUUGUCUUGGUCUGACAAUCGAUUUUGUAUUGCCUACUUAGUGCUUAGCAUGUAAAACAAUUGCCACUGUUGAUGUGUGUAGAUAUAGUUCAAAAACCAAAAAUUCUGAAAAUGCAGCUGCUAUGGUUAGUCCUGAAAUUUUUCUGAAAAUGCAGCUGCUACACUAUAAUGGCAUCUUUCCAAAAAUUAAAAGGAUAAUAAAAUAAGCUGCCAUCCUCAUUAUGUCAGUUACAAAUGAGCUGUUAUGUAUGAGGUUCUCAUGAAUUGAAAAAAAUAUUUUUCUGUUAUGUAUAUUUUGUGUAUUUGAAGCUAUUAUUUUGAACUAUUCUUUGUAUAUGCAGAAAGAUACCGGGUUAUAGGUUAGACCUUACUAAAUUCGAAACGUGUUUGCUAGCUGAAGGACAAAGUGAUGCUGAAGUCAAUUGCCUUUGUGUUUAGUUUCUGGAGCAUAGUGCAUACUAUAUUAGACAAAGUUAUUCUUCUCUAUGCUACUACGGAAAAGAUAUGAAGAUUUGCUUUCAGGUAUUAAAAUUCUAUGUUGCACAAUAGGCAAUGCAUGUAUAUGUUAGCUCUAACCAUUUGCCAGAGAAGAUGGCAACCGGUGGUGGAGAGGAGCAGGGCGGCCCAGUUGGAGGCGAGGCAGUGGUGAUGGCAGGACAGAGUAUGAUUAUGUAGUCAGUGGGGGAGCUUGUAGAAAAAUGAGGGGUCCAAUAACAAAGGAGAUUAGCAUACAUAGUGUUUAAGCAGUCAAAUUAGCUAUUCCUUCAACAAAUUUUGGAGGUUAGGGGGGCUAUGGCCCACCUUGGCCACAAUGAAGCUCCGUCACUGGAUGUAGUAGAGAGUUGAUGAGUUGAUUCUUUGAUAACAUGACCCGAACGAAUGAGUUGUCCCUUGAACUUGGUUGGUUUUGCUCAUCAGAGCUCAUUUGUCCUGCAACCGUGAUAUACUCAGGUAGCUGCUUGUGUAUACUGCGUUUUGUGUUCAUCACACAGUCAUGUAAGAUGUUUGUGGUAUUGUUUUCUAUACCGUGGACUUAACCAGGCUGCCCGAAAGCUGAAACAAAGAAAAGUGAGAAUAUUUUUUUUAAAAUUGUGAACAUGAUGCAUGAAAGACUAU
rnacentral:lncRNA from 1 species